UGGCGAUCUGGUGAUGUUUCCUUCCAGAGCUGCAGAAAAGCGACACUCAUGGACACAAGCAAUCGGGAGAGGAAGUCAUUUUGAAUAAAUGAGCAAAGAUUGUUUAGAUUGAAGAUAGAGUGCUUCCUAUCAAAACCAGGGACAACUGUAUCUUCACAAGUUCCCUUGACCCAUGGGGUAACAACCACACUAGCUGCCAUAACUACUGCCAUGGAGCCCAAUAGCCAAGAGAGUCCAUGUUCACCUACAGACAUAGCAGAAGAACCAUGCAAGCCAAAACAAUAUCUAAAGAGCCGGUAUUUCUGCUAAAGACACACUUGAAACCUGAAGAGCGGUUGCGGAAUGUAAGAGGCAAUUAACACCAUUUGGGGAAUUUUUAAUUGCUCUAUAAAGUAUAGCGUAAACAAUUAGACCCGCUCAUUUGAUCCCAUGAAUUUCACUUGACAGCUGUAAUUUAUGACUAGUAAAG